GAGGCUGCUUCAGCCGCGCAGGCGGAGCGCCGAGGGUGGGGUGGGGAGGAGACUGGGAGGUGGUCUGCCGUGCAGCCCCAUCUGUUCCCGGAUGGAUGCUAUGGGGUCCAGUUCCCGACCCCGGGGCUUCUCUGCGGGCUGAGCCACAACCGUCCAGCUUCCAUUUGCUCCUCACUGGGUCUGGGUCCUGAGCCUCAGCCCGUGAGAAGGAUAGGCUUCCUUCCGCUCGCUCUCCUGUUAAGCCAACAACUACCCCCCAAAGUGAGAUCUUAUUCAUUUUGUUAAGCCUUUUGCCGGGUCCUACACCUGGAGGCCGAGGAAGAUUGGGGGAGGAGUGAAGAGGAAUCUUCCAAAGGUUUUGGACUUUGAAGCUCUUCUGGACUUAAGGGUUUGGAAUUCAAGCUCUGACACUCUAGAACCUUGACAGUAAUUUUUAAUAAGACCUUGGGAAAAUUGGCUCAUACUGGUCAAACUCAGUGGUAUCAGAAUAAUUUGUAAAUGAAGUUUUAAUUUUUUGAUCUAGAUAUAAUUUCCUAGAAAGAUUAUUUUUAUGUAUAAGUGUUUUGAAUUCUAAUGGAAAAUAUCCCCUUUUCAUAGAGGUAGCCUAAUUUAACACAAGAAGGUUGCUUCUAUAUUAAGAACCUGCUAAAUGUGGUAGGUUCUAGGGUUUAUAGACGAUACAAAGAUUCAAUUCAACAAGGAUAAGUUGUAAGAAAUUUCCCAGACACUUUGGGAUUGAGGAUACAAAGAAAAAUGAAAACAGUUCCAACACUCAUGGAGUAACGUUUUACUGGAAAUAAGACAUCACCUCUGAUUUAAUUCAUAAUGCUUCAGGGAGCAAAAACACUGAUAUACAACGCUGUGUAAUAAAUAUAGUGCUGAAUGUAUUAAGCAUAAAAUGCUAUGUAAGGUAUGAAAAGGAGAAAAGUUACUUAGGUUUUUUGGAGAAUAUAGUUGAGCUAAGUCGUCAAAGAUAAACCUUUCAGCAGUCGGAUGGUUUAGGAUCUCAGAGCUAACUAAAAAGGUACGGUGACAUAGCUUGCCCAAUCUUGCUGGACUGGGCACUCCCACAUCCUUUGUCUGCAAACAAAGCAGAACAGGUGCUCUCAUGCAGAUUCUGUACACAUAUGUGUUCCAAGUGUCUUUACUGUGCCAUCCUUAAGUAUAUGCCACAAAAAGACUCAAAGUGGCUCUAGCAAUUCUGAUUCUAUCCAAGUUUUACAUCGCAAGAGUCUCUAAUUGCUUCAUGGCAAGGGUCUUUUAAUAUUCGCUAACUCAUUCAACAAUAAAUAUUUAUUGACCAUUA